rnacentral:tRNA from 3 species
GGAGAUGUGCCGGAGCGGUUGAUCGGGCUGGUCCUGAAAACCAGUAUAGUCGCAAGGCUAUCAGAGGUUCGAAUCCUCUCAUCUCCGCAA